rnacentral:rRNA from 1 species
AAUAUUGGACAAUGGGGGCAACCCUGAUCCAGCCAUGCCGCGUGAGUGAUGAAGGCCUUAGGGUUGUAAAGCUCUUUCAGUGGGGAAGAAACGGACGGUACCUUAGGAGGAAGCCCCGGCUAACUACGUGCCAGCAGCCGCGGUAAUACGUAGGGGGCGAGCGUUAUCCGGAAUUACUGGGCGUAAAGGGUGCGUAGGCGGCCUUUUAAGUCAGAUGUGAAAGGCUACGGCUUAACCGUAGUUAGCAUUUGAAACUAAAAGGCUUGAGUGCAGGAGAGGAGAGUGGAAUUCCUAGUGUAGCGGUGAAAUGCGUAGAUAUUAGGAGGAACACCAGUGGCGAAGGCGACUCUCUGGACUGCAACUGACGCUGAGGCACGAAAGCGUGGGGAGCGAACA